CCAUCGGAGCUGAUUCUCGCCAUAACUGAUUCCGGGAUACAGCAUCCCAUCACCGGCCUCAAUGUCUAUGUUACCCUUCAUGUCAUCUACGCCGGAGUACCCAUUACUGAAUCUCUCCAUAACCGAUUCUUGAUUGUGUAAUUGGUUUUUUAAAGGUUAAACCCUAACCUUGGUCCCCACCACUCCUCUCCUGAAGUACGGCGAGGGAGGUAAAUCACGGGAUAUACCUCCAAGGAUACAGGGUGGAAGGCUACUUGUACACUUACACUUAUCCAAAAGUCAAAUUCAUAUUUCAGGAUUCGAACCUUUGUGUGAUAGGUUUUUUAUUCAUAGAAAUGCUCGACUCUCCUAAUUUUUUUUUUUUUUUUUUUUUUUUUUUUUUUAUGAAA
rnacentral:lncRNA from 1 species